GGGGGCUGCGCAUGCGCGGGGAGAGCGAGCGGGUUCGUUUCACCCCGCGCCGCUAAUUAGCGACCGUGCCCUAAUUAGUGCGGUCCGGUGAUUGCGGGGUGCGGGGGUGAGGCUGUUGUGUGAGGGGGUUGAUGGAGCGGGGGGGCGUCCCGGCUCCCCCUCAGCCCGCCCGCCCGCCCAUUGCUCCGCGCGGGUAAUUAGCGAGCCCGCCGUAAUUAGCGCACCGAGGCGAGGCGGGCAGGCCCUGGCUGAGCCCCGGGGCCCUCAGGGCUGCUGGGGAUGGCUCCUGCCCUCAGAGCUGCCCCUCGGGCCCAGGUGAGGCCCUGAUCCCCUCAGCAAGGCCCAGGUGAGCCCCUCAGCAAGGCCCAGGUGAGGCCCUGAUCCCCUCAGCGAGGCCCAGGUGAGGCCCUGAGCCCCUCAGCGAGGCCCAGGUGAGGCCCAGGUGAGGCCCCGAGGCCCAGGUGAGGCCCUGAGCCCCUCAGCGAGGCCCAGGUGAGG